GAUGAACGCUGGCGGCGUGCCUAAUACAUGCAAGUCGAGCGAACAGAUGAGGAGCUUGCUCCUCUGACGUUAGCGGCGGACGGGUGAGUAACACGUGGAUAACCUACCUAUAAGACUGGGAUAACUUCGGGAAACCGGAGCUAAUACCGGAUAAUAUAUUGAACCGCAGGGAUCAAUGGUGAAAGACGGUUUUGCUGUCACUUAUAGAUGGAUCCGCGCCGCAUUAGCUAGUUGGUAAGGUAACGGCUUACCAAGGCAACGAUGCGUAGCCGACCUGAGAGGGUGAUCGGCCACACUGGAACUGAGACACGGUCCAGACUCCUACGGGAGGCAGCAGUAGGGAAUCUUCCGCAAUGGGCGAAAGCCUGACGGAGCAACGCCGCGUGAGUGAUGAAGGUCUUCGGAUCGUAAAGCUCUGUUAUUAGGGAAGAACAAAUGUGUAAGUAACUAUGCACGUCUUGACGGUACCUAAUCAGAAAGCCACGGCUAACUACGUG
rnacentral:rRNA from 1 species